rnacentral:tRNA from 1 species
AGGGGCGUAGUUCCACUGGUAGAACAGCGGUCUCCAAACCGAUGGUUGCGGGUUCGAGUCCUGCCGCCCCUGCCA